CCCUUAGAUGUUCUGGGCCGCACGCGCGCUACACUGAUGCAUUCAACAAGCCUAGCCUUGACCGAGAGGUCCGGGUAAUCUUUGAAACUGCAUCGUGAUGGGGCUAGAUUAUUGCAAUUAUUAAUCUUCAACGAGGAAUGCCUAGUAAGCGUGAUUCAUCAAAUCGCGUUGAUUACGUCCUUGCCCUUUGUACACACCGCCCGUCGCUCCUACCGAUUGAAUGUGUUGGUGAGGAGCUCGGAUUGGCAGCAGUUGGUGGUUCGCCACCGGCUAUUGCUGAGAAGUCCUCCAAACCGCCCCAUUUAGAGGAAGGAGAAGUCGUAACA
rnacentral:rRNA from 1 species